rnacentral:rRNA from 1 species
GAUGAACGCUGGCGGCGUGCCUAAUACAUGCAAGUCGAGCGAACCACUUCGGUGGUGAGCGGCGAACGGGUGAGUAACACGUAGGUUGUCUGCCCAUCAGACGGGGACAACGAUUGGAAACGAUCGCUAAUACCGGAUAGGACGAAAGUUUAAAGGUGCUUCGGCACCACUGAUGGAUGAGCCUGCGGCGCAUUAGCUAGUUGGUAGGGUAAAGGCCUACCAAGGCGACGAUGCGUAGCCGACCUGAGAGGGUGAACGGCCACACUGGGACUGAGACACGGCCCAGACUCCUACGGGAGGCAGCAGUAGGGAGUCUUCGGCAAUGGGCGAAAGCCUGACCGAGCAACGCCGCGUGAAUGAUGAAGGCCUUCGGGUUGUAAAAUUCUGUUAUAAGGGAAGAAUGGCUCUAGUAGGAAAUGGCUAGAGUGUGACGGUACCUUAUGAGAAAGCCACGGCUAACUACGUGCCAGCCGCCGCGGUAAAAC